CGCGCGGCCGGAGCGUGCUUUCGCCGCCGCCCGGGAGCCGUCCGCUUCAGCCGCCGGCGCGUUCCCACCCUUCCCUCCCCUCGCAACCCCGGGCCCGCACCCGCGUCCCCGCCCCUUCGCACCGGGGGACCCGGUCCGCUUCGGAGCCGCGCGCCGAGCGUUCGGGCAUGCCCCGCUACGAGCUGGCUUUGAUUCUGAAAGCCAUGCAGCGGGGUUGGUACAAUAGGCUUCACUAGACUUAGCUGCAACUCAGAAUUUCUCCUCCAGCACCUGAGUAAAUGCUGAUGGUCUUGUGGAGAGUGGAUUAAGAGUACGAGCUAAGUUCUCAAUCUCAAUUAAGAAGCGGAGGAAAAUUUAACUGUCUCCUUCAGAGUUUAUCACAACCACCACCAUCAAGACAGCAAACCAAAGGACAAAGACUUUGACCUGCUGUGUUACUCUGUAUAGUCCAGUUCACGUAUGGUUUACAGACUUGGCUGGGGUGACUAAUAAGUAAAUAAAAAGUUGGACACGUCUGUCAUUUGGACACUUUGAUUCACAAUUUACCAGAAUGAGGGCUAUACUGGAGCCAACAGACAUUGCCAUAGUGGCCCUGUAUUUUAUCCUGGUCCUGUGCAUUGGUUUUUUUGCCAUGUGGAAAUCUAAUAGAAGCACCGUGAGUGGAUACUUCCUGGCGGGGCGCUCUAUGACCUGGGUAGCAAUUGGUGCCUCUCUGUUUGUGAGCAAUAUUGGGAGUGAGCACUUCAUUGGGCUGGCAGGAUCUGGAGCUGCAAGUGGAUUUGCAGUGGGCGCAUGGGAAUUCAAUGCCUUACUGCUUUUGCAACUUCUGGGAUGGGUUUUCAUCCCAAUUUACAUCCGAUCAGGGGUAUACACCAUGCCUGAAUACUUGUCCAAGCGAUUUGGUGGCCAUAGGAUUCAGGUCUAUUUUGCCGCCUUGUCUCUGAUUCUCUAUGUCUUCACCAAGCUGUCAGUGGAUCUGUAUUCGGGUGCCCUCUUUAUCCAGGAGUCUUUAGGUUGGAACCUUUAUGUGUCUGUCAUCCUGCUCAUUGGCAUGACGGCUUUGCUAACUGUCACUGGAGGCCUGGUUGCAGUGAUCUAUACAGACACUCUGCAGGCUCUGCUCAUGAUCAUUGGGGCGCUCACUCUUAUGAUUAUUAGCAUGAUGGAGAUUGGUGGAUUUGAGGAAGUUAAGAGAAGGUACAUGUUGGCCUCGCCCAAUGUUACCUCCAUUCUGUUGACCUACAACCUUUCCAAUACAAAUUCUUGUAAUGUCUACCCCAAGAAAGAAGCCCUAAAAAUGUUACGGGCUCCAACAGAUGAAGAUGUUCCGUGGCCUGGAUUCAUUCUUGGGCAGACCCCAGCCUCUGUGUGGUACUGGUGUGCUGACCAGGUCAUCGUGCAGAGGGUCCUAGCAGCCAAAAACAUUGCUCAUGCCAAAGGCUCUACCCUCAUGGCUGGCUUCUUGAAGCUUCUGCCAAUGUUUAUCAUAGUUGUUCCAGGAAUGAUUUCCAGGAUACUGUUUGUUGAUGACAUAGCUUGCAUCAACCCGGAGCACUGCAUGCAAGUAUGUGGAAGCAGAGCUGGGUGUUCCAAUAUUGCUUACCCACGCCUGGUGAUGAAGCUGGUUCCCGUAGGCCUUCGUGGCCUGAUGAUGGCAGUGAUGAUUGCAGCUCUGAUGAGUGACUUGGAUUCAAUCUUUAACAGCGCCAGUACCAUAUUCACCCUUGAUGUGUACAAACUCAUCCGCAAGAGUGCAAGCUCCCGGGAGCUAAUGAUUGUGGGCAGGAUAUUUGUGGCCUUUAUGGUGGUGAUCAGCAUAGCAUGGGUGCCAAUCAUUGUGGAAAUGCAAGGAGGUCAGAUGUACCUUUAUAUUCAGGAGGUGGCAGAUUAUCUGACACCUCCAGUGGCGGCCCUGUUCCUUCUGGCAAUUUUUUGGAAGCGCUGCAAUGAGCAAGGAGCUUUCUAUGGUGGAAUGGCUGGCUUUGUUUUUGGAGCUGUCCGGUUGAUUUUGGCCUUUACCUACCGUGCCCCAGAGUGUGACCAACCUGAUAACAGGCCUAGCUUCAUCAAAGAUAUCCAUUAUAUGUAUGUGGCAACAGCAUUGUUUUGGAUCACAGGACUCAUUACUGUAAUCGUUAGUCUUCUCACACCACCUCCCACAAAGGAUCAGAUUCGCACCACCACUUUUUGGUCUAAGAAGAGCCUCGUGACGAAGGAGAGUUGUUCUCAGAAAGAUGAACCGUACGAAAUGCAAGAGAAGAGUAUUCUGCGAUGCAACGAGAACAGCGAGGCCAUCAACCAUGUCAUUCCCAAUGGGAAAUCUGAAGAUAGCAUUAAGGGCCUUCAGCCUGAAGAUGUUAAUCUAUUGGUGACCUGUAGAGAGGAGGCUAACCCAAUGGCUUCCUUGGGUCCUUCAGAGGCAGAAACACCAGUAGAUGCAUAUUCCAAUGGGCAAGCGGCUCUCAUGGGUGAGAAGGAGAGAAAGAAAGAAACGGAUGAUAGAGGCCAGUACUGGAAGUUCAUAGACUGGUUUUGUGGCUUUAAAAGUAAGAGCCUCAGCAAGAGGAGUCUCAGAGACCUGAUGGACGAGGAGGCUGUUUGUUUACAAAUGUUAGAAGAGACUCCACAAGUUAAAGUAAUACUGAAUAUUGGACUUUUUGCUGUGUGUUCGCUUGGAAUUUUCAUGUUUGUUUAUUUCUCCUUAUGAACUUAAGGAUACGAUGAGACACUUAACUUAAAAUACUGGUCUUUGGGGGAAAAAUUAUGUAACUGUCGCAUCUCUCUCAGGCAUUGUUUACGCAGUAGGUUUUAGCCAAACUUUACUUAGCAGAACGCCAUCUAUUUGUAAGACUUUAUUUUCCUAGAGAUGGAUGAAAGUAGAUCCUCAAAUUAAGUGGCACAGAACAGACUUAAUUGUGCAAAAAUGUGGUUUUAAAACAUUACAUACCAAAGUAAGGAGAGACCAAUUGUCAUAGGUCACUUAGAGCAGAAUACAUAUCAAAGAAAGGUAUUUUAAGAAAAUAUAUCAGGACUGCCAAUUCUUGGUAGACUUUAUGCUGAAGAUUGUUUAUUUCUAAUUUGUUUUGUUUUGUUUCUGUAGUCCAUAUUACCUUUUAAAGAAACCUGAAUUUUUAGAAUACUCGGUAAUGCGUUACAUAGUGAAAAUAUAAUGUCCUUGAGUGGUCCUUCUUUUAGGGCAGGUUAGGUUUGCCAGGUUUGUUUUGUUAGUGUAAGUCUGUGGAUGCUGACUGCCAAGAAAAGGAAGGAAUAUUUCCUGUAUGUAUUUUAGUAUCACUUGUAUGUAGAGUGUUGUGGGGGAGGACUUUAUUCCAGCUAUUCCCCCUCUGUUUGUUUCUAUUUUCAUGGAGGUUUAAGUGAAACAUACUCAAAUGACCACCAAGUGUGUCUAUAAAGUUUUGUCAAAAUUGUGUUGUUAAAUAAUUAUGGGGGAUAGUAGAAGGGCCAUUACUUAUGAGUCCCACAUUUAUUGACCAAAUUAAGGUUUCUUUUCAAUAUAGUUUGGGAAUAAGCAGUUCCUAAGCAGUGUUUGACUUAGGCUAAAAUGAUUAAUCAUGCUCUGCCAUUUUUCUAGCUUUUUCUUGUAGUUCGAUGACAUUUUUAUUAGUCAAAAGUUUCCUUCCCAAGUGGAUCGAUUAGGGAUAUAUAUAGUCCAUUAUCUUGAAAAAGUGGCGCUGCUUUUGUGUGCUCGGUUACCCAGCUUAGUGAAGCUCUCAAUAUAUGGAGAAUGAGAUUUCAAGAGGGAAACCUCAACUUUGAGAUCAGAAUGCAUUUUUCUUCCCCAGUUUGAUUUCUUUCUCAA